AUGGUAGAAAUGCAAGGUAAAGCUUCGUACAAUAGUGCACAUAGCAAUUACUUUAGUGCACCAGACUGCCUGGUCUUUGGAGCUAAUCUUGAUUUUCCGGUGACCGGAGGUGAUUUUCGGGUGAAAGUGAAUAUUACUAAUUGGAUAGAAAAGUUAACACUGAGCUUGAUAGUGAAAAUGAUAGCUGGAAAAAGCUAUGGAAGGGUAGAAAAAGGUGGAAAUGAAGAAGAAGCUGAGAGAUUUAAGAAAGCUUUGAAGGAUUUUAUGUCAAUAGGGUUUGUGUUAUGGGAUGCAUUUCCAAUACCUUUGUUUAAGUGGAUUGAUUUUCGAGGGCAUGUUAAGUUUAUGAAAAGGACAUUUAAAGAUAUUGAUUGUGUUUUACAAAGUUGGUUGGAUGAAAAUGUGAAGAAAAGAGAAAGAGUUAAUUUUGUUGAGGGAAAUGAAGAGGAUUUUAUUGAUGUUAUGCUUUCUAUGAUGAGUAAUGAAGAUUUUGUUGAUGGUUAUAGUAGAGAAACCACCAUUAAAGCUACUACUCUGAUUCUUCAAAAUGUCGUCGGGUGUGUAUCUGUACUGAUCCUUCAAAAGUAGUGCCUUUUUCAGAGGAUUCAAUAUAACAACAGCAUACCCCAGUGAAAUCCACAAGUAGGGUAUGGGGAGGUAGAGAGUACUGUCAGAGAGUAUGGUGUUGGUUGCUUCGGACGCGACUGCUAUUCACUUAAAUUGGGUAAUGGCUACAUUGUUAAACCACAGAGAUGCCAUGAAGAAAGUCCAAGACGAGCUAGACACAAAUGUUGGCAGAAACAGAUGGGUAGAAGAGAGUGAUAUCAAGGAUUUGGUAUACUUCCAAGCUGUCGUUAAAGAAACACUGUGAUUAUAUCCACCAGCACCUUUGUUAGCACCACGCGAAUCAGUAGAGGACUGUAUCGUACGAGGAUACCACAUUCCAAAAGGUAGAAGAUUGUGGGUCAAUACUAUGAAACUACAUCGAGAUCCUAAGAUUUGGUCGAAUCCUGAUACAUUUGAUCCAGAGAGAUUCUUGACUAGUCAAGCAAGGGU